rnacentral:lncRNA from 1 species
UCCACAAAACCGCCAUUGUUAUCAUGGCCCGUUCUCAAUGAGCUGUUGGGUACACCUCCCAGACGGGGUGGCGGCCGGGCAGUCCAAGAACUUGCCCACCUGAAAUGGUCAUCGUAGGCAGAGCAAAUGUUUAAAGUGAGGAUACAGCGUUUAAUUGCCCCUUGUCUUACUGAAAGGUGUUAUUCACAUAUUGCUCAGCAAUCACUGAGAACAUGUGCCAAUGAGGGCCGAUAACUCCUGUUUGGAAUGUGCUGCUUGUUUCUGAGACUUUACAACAAUGAGUGGCCAGGAUUUUACUCUCCAGACUCACGUAGAAAUGAGUGUGUCCUGUGUGAUAUCUCCAACAGAGAACAAUCAAAAGGAAUCAAAAAGAUGUUAGCCAUUGAGCUCUAGAAAUCCAGCUGCCUUCUCCCGGCCUCCGGACACACAACAGCUUCAUUGUAUGAGGAGAGAGCAUUGAACUGAAGCUUUCCUGCAAGCAUAUUUGAACUUGGACCUUCAGUGCACAGACCAGCAGCCAGCUUCCAGCCCAGGCACCCCCUCCUCUCCUCCCUUCUCUUCUCCAACUCUGCAAGAGAAUUUAGUUCCAUUUAAGUCCAGGAGAUGUGGCAAAAACAACACUCCAAACACCACUUCCAUUUAUGGCAACGGGAUCCUCUAAACCAGUGAGAAAUAGCCCUUCAGCUCAUAAGUCCUUUAGCUUCUCCUGUGCCUCAUACAUUCGUUUUCUCUGCUCACAUCGGAGGGAAGAAAUAGGCCUAAAGAGUUGGGGUUUAUUUUUUAAGUGUUUUUUUUAAGGAGAAAAAAAACACUGAUAUCAACAAAAAGAAGAGUCACUCAUUAUUAAUAUUAGAAGGACAUUAGCUAGACACAGAUCAACUUCCACAUUUUUCAGAUGAGGAAACUGAGGCCAAAGAAGCUAAAAGUCCUAGCAGCACUUUGGGAAAAUCCCUAAGAUGAGCCAUCUUAGGACACAACAUUGAAAGCCAUGCCCUCAUUUCCCUUACUUACUUGCACUAUUAACUUCCUAUUAAUGAUUACGAUAAAUUGCUGUAUACGAAGUCCUAUACUCAGGAGAAGGAAGCAAAACUGUACCCAGCAGGAGUUUACCAGGACUGAGUUAAUUUCUUUUUCUUUGAAUCCAUUUCAUCGCUCAUACCCGCAAUCCCUGUCAGUGCAAUGAGAAACCAUUUUUUUUUGUCAUUUAUGUUCAAAUCCUUAGAGUUAUAGCCAUGCUUCAUGUUCACCCCUUUUUUUGAUACUUCAAGUCCUGUUAAUUACCCAUUAAAUAUUCAUUCUCUCAACAGGCAUGUAUUCAUCUCCUUCCCUGUGCCAAGCACUGUUCCUCCGUGUGGUUGUCCCUUCCUUUCCUCUCCAAUCCUUCAUUCAUGCCCCAGGCCCAGGCUUUUUCACCUUCCAAUGACUGGUGCUGCAAGAACUACAUGGUUGCCUCCAGGCCACCUGUCUCCAGUACAUUAUGUCUGGCCAAUUUUCCUUCAACAUUGCACCAGUCAUGCCAUCAGGAAGUCUGCAGUUGACUGCUUCCUAGUACUUAGCAAUUCAGGUUCAAAUUCUUCCCCCUGGUUUUCAAGUUUUCCUGCAACCACCUUAGCUACCCAAACUUAUGCCCCCACUAUUUUCACCUAACUCUUCUUUAACUGGUGAAAUUGCACUCAUCCUUCAAGGCCUAGAGUCAUGUAUCACCUGCUCUCUAAAAAGUCCCUCUUGGGCCGGGCGCGGUGGCUCACGCCUGUAAUCCCAGCACUUUGGGAGGCCGAGGCGGGCGGAUCACGAGGUCAGGAGAUCGAGAC